rnacentral:rRNA from 1 species
GACGAACGCUGGCGGCGUGCUUAACACAUGCAAGUCGAACGGAAAGGCCCUUCGGGGUACUCGAGUGGCGAACGGGUGAGUAACACGUGGGUGAUCUGCCCUGCACUUUGGGAUAAGCCUGGGAAACUGGGUCUAAUACCGAAUAGGACCACGCGCUUCAUGGUGUGUGGUGGAAAGCUUUUGCGGUGUGGGUUGGGCCCGCGGCCUAUCAGCUUGUUGGUGGGGUAAUGGUCGACCAAGGCGACGCCGGGUAGCCGGCCUGAGAGGGUGACCGGCCACACGGGGACUGAGAUACGGACCAGACUCCUACGGGAGGCAGCAGUGGGGAAUAUUGCACAAUGGGCGCAAGCCUGAUGCAGCGACGCCGCGUGAGGGAUGACGGCCUUCGGGUUGUAAACCUCUUUCAAUAGGGACGAAGCGCAAGUGACGGUACCUAUAGAAGAAGCACCGGCCAACUACGUG